rnacentral:rRNA from 1 species
GACGAACGCUGGCGGCGUGCUUAACACAUGCAAGUCGCACGAAGUGGCGAACGGGUGAGUAACGCGUAAUCAACCUGCCCUUCAGAGGGGGACAACAGUUGGAAACGACUGCUAAUACCGCAUACUGAAGGAGGGGAUUGCGGCGGAUUAGCUAGUUGGAGGGGUAACGGCCCACAAAGGCGAUGAGCAGCAGCCUGUCUGAGAGGAUGAACGGCCACAUUGGGACUGAGACACGGCACAGACUUCUACGGGAGGCAGCAGUGGGGAAUCUUCCGCAAUUGACGAAAGUCUGACGGCGCAACGCCGCGUGAGUGAUGACGGCCUUCGGGUUGUAAAGCUCUGUUAAUCGGGACGCGGUACCGGAAUAGAAAGCCACGGCUAACUACGUGCCAGCAGCCGCGGUAAUUC